AAUAUUGCGCAAUGGAGGGAACUCUGACGCAGCGACGCCGCGUGAGCGAUGAAGGUUUACGGAUCGUAAAGCUCUGUCCUUGGGGAAGAAGGUGGCCAUUUUUGGCCACUUGACGGUACCCAAGGCGGAAGCCCCGGGUAACUACGUGCCAGCAGCCGCGGUAAUACGUAGGGGGCAAGGGUUGUCCGGAAUUAUUGGGCGUAAAGGGUGCGUAGGCGGCCUUUUAAGUCAGAUGUGAAAGACCACGGCUUAACCGUGGGGUUGCAUUUGAAACUGGAGGGCUUGAGUAUCGGAGAGGGUAGUGGAAUUCCCAGUGUAGCGGUGGAAUGCGUAGAUAUUGGGAGGAACACCAGUGGCGAAGGCGACUUUCUGGACUGUAACUGACGCUGAGGCACGAAAGCGUGGGUAGCGAACA
rnacentral:rRNA from 1 species